AUGAAACACAAAGAACUGUACGUGGCUGAACUCCUGAAGUCAGCAGGGACAUGCCAGGGUGGAUGUUAGCUUGAAAGACUGGCUUCGCAGUGUCUCCUCUGACUGACUACGAGGAAGUCUGUGCCUGGAUGUGAAAAGCAGGACCCGUGCUCAGGUGAGCCUGUGCUGCGGCGAUGAACCAGGGUCCAAUCCAGCAGAGGUAUGCAGAGAUGAUUGCGAAGUCCUGAGCAGCCUCAUCUCUUGCGGAGGCCCUGCGCGCUCCUGUGACAUGCUCAGCAUUGCUGCUGCACUCAGCUUCACCCCACGCACAGCUGUCUUGACCCUGCUGCCAUCUGAUGCUGCUUUUCAAAUUGCUAAAGUCAAAUUAGGAGCGCCUGGUGAGCACGUGCAGAGCCACAGGGAGUGCUGGGGUCCGUGGGAACCUGAGCCUGGCAGUGCUGUCGCUAGCUGGGAAGCUCUCCCUUCCUCUGGCUCCAGAGGCAUCCUCCAAAACCACAGAGAUCCCAAACACAACAGAAGGAGGGAACAAAGGAAUCACUGCAGCUCUCAGCUGUGCCAUGGCUACCCCAGUAUCAGAAGAUCUUUGGAGCCAAGGGAGCAUAGUUCAAGGGGUUGGAGAGGGAGAAUGAUGUUUCACUGCCUCCUCUUGGGCCUAGGCGAUGCAAGGGGAGCUCUGCUGUUGGCUCCCUUGGGAACAGGAUGCUGCUUCCCGUGGGAUGAAGUUAGGGAAAUGACCUGA
ensembl:lncRNA